GACGAACGCUGGCGGCGUGCUUAACACAUGCAAGUCGAACGGGCCCGCCCCUGUUUUUGGGGGCGGGUUGAGUGGCGAACGGGUGAGUAUCACGUGAGUAACCUGCCCCCUGCUCCUGGAUAACUGCUUGAAAGGGCGGCUAAUACGGGGUGUGCCGGCUGGUCCGCAUGGGCCUGGUCGGGAUAGUUUCAUCUUCGGGUGUUUCGGUGGGGGAUGGGCUCGCGGCCUAUCAGCUUGUUGGUGGGGUGAUGGCCCACCAAGGCGGUGACGGGUAGCCGGCCUGAGAGGGUGGGCGGCCACACUGGGACUGAGACACGGCCCAGACUCCUGCGGGAGGCAGCAGUGGGGGGUAUUGCACAAUGGGCGGAAGCCUGAUGCAGCGACGGCGCGUGAGGGAUGGAGGCCUUCGGGUUGUGAACCUCUUUCUCCGGUGGUGAAGGCCCUGUCCGUUGCGGCGGGGUUGACGGUAGCCGGGUAUGAAGCGCCGGCUAACUACGUG
rnacentral:rRNA from 1 species